rnacentral:rRNA from 1 species
CCUACGGGUGGCAGCAGUGGGGAAUAUUGCACAAUGGAGGAAACUCUGAUGCAGCGACGCCGCGUGAGUGAAGAAGUAUUUCGGUAUGUAAAGCUCUGUCAGCAGGGAAGAAAAUGAGGGUACCUGAUUAUGAAGCCCCGGCUAACUACGUGCCAGCAGCCGCGGGAAAACGUAGGGGGCAAGCGUUGUACGGAUUUAAUGUGGGUAAAGGGAGCGGAGGCGGCAGCACAAGUCUGAAGUGAAAGGCCGGGGCUUAACCCCGGAAGUGCUUUGGAGACUGUGCAGCUAGAGUGCAGGAGAGGUAAGUGGAAUUCCUAGUGUAGCGGUGAAAUGCGUAGAUAUUAGGAGGAACACCAGUGGCGAAGGCGGCUUACUGGUCUGUAACUGACGUUGAGGCUCGAAAGCGUGGGGAGCAAACAGGAUUAGAUACCCGGGUAGUC